rnacentral:rRNA from 1 species
AAAUCCAUUAUUGUUAAGUGAAAAUAAGGUAGUGUUUAUCCAAGCCAACCAGGAAAUGGGCUUAGGAGCGGCCAUUUUUUAAAGACCUCGUAACAGAGCACUGGUUUUAUACAAUUUUGUAUGUAUUGUUAGAUGCACCUAAAAUUUAACGGAUCUAAAUAAUAUACCGAGACCUUGUCCAUAAAUAUUUAUAUGUACAAGUUACAUAUAAUAUUUAUGGGGUAGCGGAACAUUGGGCAUAUCUCAGAUUUUUUCUUUUUAAGACUUAAGAUUAGAUGACCCAAGUGAUAAUGCUGACAUGAGUAACGAUAAAGGGUUUAUACCCUCGCCUAAAGCUUAUGGAAUUUACUUAAAGUAACGGCCUCUAAGUUUAAAUUUGCUAUAGUUUAAACAAACAACACUUGAUACCUAACUCUAACAGACAAUACAAGUGCAAAAUGGUAAACACCUAAUGGUAUAAACGAUGAUAAAAAGCUAAGUUUUACAGAUAUAAAUAGCAUGAGUGUUGCAGGUAGGUAUUAUAUAUAUAAUGGAUUUUUUUUUUUUAUUCUUUUUAAAAAUUAUUAUCUUUUGCACUAUCCCGGAAAAACCAAUAUACCAGGAAAAUGCAAGGGAUAAAAGGUAAAAAAAAUUAUUGGUACAAGUUAAAAAAAUUAUUGAUUUAAUAGUUAUUUUUUGCUAAAGAGACAAAUGCUCUGGAAAAAAAAAAACACCUGACUUGUUAAAAAAUAGGCCAGGUUCAAUCCCUUCGCCCAUUAAUAAAUAAUUACCGAACCUAAAACCUAACACAAGUAACCAGG